CAGUCGCCGCGGGAAUACGAAGGGGGCUAGCGUUGCUCGGAAUUACCGGGCGUAAAGGGCGCGUAGGCGGACAGUUCAGUCGGGGGUGAAAGCCCGGGGCUCAACCUCGGAAUUGCCUUCGAUACUGGCUGUCUUGAGUAUGAGAGAGGUGUGUGGAACUCCGAGUGUAGAGGUGAAAUUCGUAGAUAUUCGGAAGAACACCAGUGGCGAAGGCGACACACUGGCUCAUUACUGACGCUGAGGCGCGAAAGCGUGGGGAGCGAACAGGAUUAGAUACCCCAGUAGUCCCUGUCUCUUAUAC
rnacentral:rRNA from 1 species